rnacentral:rRNA from 1 species
GGGUCAUUAGGUUGGUCGUGCCACCGGUACGUACUGGUCUCACUGAUUCCUCCUUCCUGAAGAACCGUAAUGCCAUUAAUUUGGUGUUGCGGGGAAACAGGACUGUUACUUUGAAAAAAUUAGAGUGUUUAGAGCAAGCUAACGCUUGAAUACAUUAGCAUGGAAUAAUGAAAUAGGACGAUCGAUCCUAUUUUGUUGGUUUCUAGGAUUGACGUA